AAGUCAAAACCAAGAAAAUUGCAUUUCAAAUGUGCUUUAGCUUUAGAUGAGGGCAUACUAUAAUUGCGCAGCAUUUUGUUUACAAAGUAAAUUGCCACAAAUUAUUUGAUUCAAUUUCAAAUGGCAAAUGUAAUCUGAUCCUUAGAACACAGAAAAUUGUUGACAGCCCAAACACCCACCCUGUUAAUAACAAUUAUAUUCUUCAUGUAGUUCAGUAAAUAUAAAUUUGAUUUGAAUAGAAGCAUCUGAAUCAAUAGAUGAAUAAGUCCUUUGGCACUUUAAUCCUUUUUUAUAGCAUAUAUGCCAAUUAGCCUAAAACCUUAUGGAAUUAAGCUUUUUAAAGCCAUCUUUCUCUGUCUCUGUGCAUUUAGGAUUAAAAAAAAACACCAAUAGACAAUGCUGGCCAGAAACUAAUUAACUGUACAUGCAAUUCCAUGUUAUAACUGAAGCAGACUCACACAGGAUGUAGAUAAAAUGAUAAGGUUUAUUUGCACAGAUGAGCAACAGAAAGUCUAUACUAGAAGAAUCAGGCGAGUAUAUAGUACUUAGAAAGUCAAUGACUGGAAUCACAGUAAUAUUGAGCACAGUUCUCAUCUUUUCCAGGAAUCAGGAGCACAGGAAAGACGAAGGAGAUCCUGGAAGCACACACCACAAUCACAGAGAACGCUGACGGAGACACUGGAGACAACUACAACAUAAAGAGAAACACAAGAGCACUUGAGCUGAUGAUUUGCCUCUGAGUCACUGCCACUUUGUGAAGACAGCACUGGAGAUUCGUGUCCACUCAAUCAACUCUUCCAGUAAUUAGCUCCAAAUUGCAUGCAAGGGGACCUGCUGAAGUGCCAUUACAUUUUCUACAUGUUUUGCUUGGAGACCUUGUUCUUUUUAAUUAAACAUUCAUUAUGUACGUUGUUAGAAUAAAUCAUAAAUAAAAAAGCAAACACCAUCAUGAUCUCUGUGGUCAACUCCACGCUCCAUUAAACAAAUUGUGGUUCACAUAAAUAAGGAAUGUGUUUUGUUGUUUUUUUGUAUCUUGUGGAAAAAUAUGUUUUAGAGUGCCAGAAAAGGAUCUAAUUUGUAAGGAAAUUGAAGAAGCAGAUCACACUGAAUUUACAAGGAUUACUUCAUACAUAAACUUUCUGCAAUAAACUGUUUAGUUCUCAAAUAUGAAUCUUAGUCUACGAUUUAGGACAUAUUUGCGUAUACUUACUCAACGGGCAAGAAAAGUGAAAAACAUGCUAAUGCAUGCAAAUAGUCAGGAAAUUUCCUAAAAUGUUUUACCGUUGGUUAAAACAGCACAGCAACAUGAUUAUAGUCAUGGCAGCAGUCCACAGUCUAUGAAGACCGAGGUGUCGAUUUUGAAAAUCAGCUGCUAUAAGUAUCGGAGGCUCCACAGCUCAGUGUGCUCUGAAGUGGUGCCAGGAACUACUGGUCUUUAAUUUGGUCAGGCAGGUGUGGGAUUUGGGCCCGCCUGGGUCCUUAUUGCUUUGCUAGGCAAUCAUCAGCCUGAUCAGCUGUGCGCCUCACUUGUUUAUAAGCUUUGUAAUCAUUGCGAGGUUUAUGAAAAACCAGUAAGUGAAAUUAUGUUACCUAGAUGACUUUUACCUUAAGGUCUCCUUUGUGUUAAUAAAACACUAACCAGUUAUCAUUAACAUUUAAUGUUAGAAAACAUGGUCACACUUUAUUUUAAGGUCUAAUUUUCACUAUUAAUAAACCAUUAACUGUGAUUAAUAUCUAAUUUGAUGCUUAUUAAUAGUUAAAAAGGUAGUUGUUCAUUUUAGGUGUUAUGGCUUUUGUUUAUUUUGUUUAAAUUUAGAAUGCAUAAUGUAUUUUUUUCCUUUAGAGUAGCUCAUAGCUGAAUCCAAUGGUCACACUAUGGGCAAUGUGUGAUUAUCAUCUACUGGAGUGCCCGUGAAAGCUAAUAGAGGGCACUCCUCCCAGAUAAUUGCCCAUUGUUGGUGGACUUCAGUUCCCAUCACCUCUUGCUUUGAUUAUUGGUCCAUUACCUUCAGAUGUGUGUAGUUAAGAGAUACUCAGUUCAGCUGUAUUUAUAGCCUGUGGUUUGUGUCGAUUGUUGCUGGAGUAUUGCUUCCUGUCAGGAUCACUAUCGUCAAAGAUGAUUGACAAUUAGCAUGCAGUUUGAAUUGGCGUUGUGGUUCUGUUCCGGGCAUGGUCUCGCCGUGCAUCCAUGCAGCUUAGCAUGGAUGAGCAGAGAAAGCAGCAAUAACCCCCCAAGGAAACAGUACAGAACCAAUGAAUGUAUUGCAGAUAUUUUUAAAAUUCGUAAUUUUUGUACAUGUUUUGUACAAGGAGAACCAGUAGGCUGGAUCCUGACUGACAUAGGAGGAGUUAGGGCAAUGCAAAAAAUUAUAACAGUACUGACAGACCUUGUAAAAAAUGUAAUUAACAAAAUGUUGGAAGGUCAAAAAUAUUUUAGUUGAACUAAUUUUAUUGCUUAGUUGAGAAGAUUAUAUUUAAUCUCCGCAAAUAUAUUUUAAAAUAUUAAAUGAGUUUUUUUUUCAAAUCCAGUCAACAUUCAGACUUCUAAAUGUUGACUAAGCUAAUAAAAACUAACACCAAAAUCAUUCUGCACAUGCAAGAGCCUGAUCGAGUGACUUUGUGGGAGAAACAAUGCUGCCAUCUUGUUCACGCCUCAGUCUGUAUCCAGAUCAGAUGGUGGAACAGCAUCUAGAGAUUACCUCUACAGCCCCGAAUAUCAGUGGAGAUCAUGUCAGCUAGAUGAGCUCCAGAGACAGACCUCAUUGGCCAUCAGGACAAACCAUGAGAAGUCGUCUUCUCAGUCUGACCUGCGUUGCAGCCUGGAUUUGAACCAAGCCGUGCUGGUGUCAUCUGUCCUUGUUGCCUUCAUCUUGCUUAUUUGGGGACACUUUAUUACAGACAUUAUUGAAAGCGAGCUAAACUGGAUGAUGUUAACAAUGAAUCACCAAUGAACUAAGAAAAUUACUUAUUAAAAUUGCAUUAUUGACAAACUACUUUCCUGUUUGACUCUGUAAAGGUGCAUUGACACAAUUGCUAUUGUAUUAUGCGCUAUUUAUAUAAAGAUGAUUUGAUUUUGUAUACUGGAACACCUGGUUCAUUUUAUCUACUUAUUAUUAUUUUUAUUUUUUUUUACUUCUGCCUCAUUUAUAGAUGUAAUUGUGAACAAUACUUGUUUGUUUGCUAACAUUUUGUUUAGUUAAGUGUAAAGUCAAUUUUGCUGUUGUAUUACAGAUGUAAUGUUUGUCAACUGGAGCUUUUGAACUAGAGCUUUUUAUUCCUGUAUGUUUAGUUUAUAUGAAAAACGUUUUAAAUUUCAAUUUAUUACGUUGCCCAAAUUAAUCAAUCACUUUUAUAUAGUGCUUUUAAUGAUGCAGAUUUUAUCGAAGCACUGAACAGUAGCAAAUAGGAGAAUACAAUGACAAGGCUAUAUAAUGACAAGACUGAACAAUUUGUUAUUAAAUGCAGAGAUGGUUUCUGUAAUCAAAUCCAUAAAGAAUGGAGAAAAGACAUGGUGCACCCAGACUCAAAAUAAUGCAGCCUAACAAUCCUUUAACGGAUUUGAGUAAUAGAAGUGUACUAGUGUGUUGUGUGUAAGCCAGGUUAAAGAGAUAGAAUGUGACUGCUUCCCGAAAAGUGUUAGGGAGAUUGUUCUAAAUAGAGGUUGGGUGCUAAAUAGGAAUAGAAUCUGCCGGUUUGUCAAUGGAUUGUCAAAAAUGAGAAUAUGGUGACAUGCCAAUGAGCUAAUCAAUUCAAAGAACCUGCAAAGGUUUCCUGAGCCUUCAAAAUGGUUUUUCAGUUUUGUUCACUAGGCUACACAAUCAUAUGGAAGACUGCUGAUCUGACAGUUGUCCAGAAGACAGUCAUUGAGACCCUUCACAAAGAGGGUAAGGCACAAACAUUGAAGUGAGGUGAGGAUGGAGGAGGAAGACUAGCAGUUGACUAGUGGCCAAGAAAGGGGCCAUCCACAACUUCAUCAACUCCUCAUUCUCUUCCAGGAAGAAAAGAACUGUGGCGGAAUGUGGUCGCGAGCCAUGGUUCAGAAACUGCUCUCUUGUGAAACACUCAGGGGAAUCGCUGAACAAACACUGUCACUUCAUGACACAAUAAAUGUAAAAGUAAUCUGCAUGUAUACAUUACACAUAGAUUCUUAUUAAGUUAAUAAGUGAUUGAGUCAAGAGCAGUGAGUGAUUUUCUCCUUUCAUUUACCGAUUUAAUCAGGCUGUCAACACAAACAGGUUGAGAUCUGACGCAUAGAUCAAAUAUUGUAAAACAGCUGUAUUUCUCCCAACUGUUUAAGUUCACUUAAGACAAAACUGAAUGCAUUUACAUGACAAGUCAUCAGGACAUAUUGACAUAUGGUCACACACCGGACAAGAAUCGCAGCGCUGCGUAUCAUCACAUUGUGCCACGUCAUUUUUAUUAGCUUACACACACUGGCAGUGCCUACCAACGUUUCAAACUAUGUAAAGACAUGAGGUGGGGCUAUUAAUUACCUGUUUUUUGUGACGUGAGUCGGCUAGCAGACAUUUGGUUUAGCCAGUCUGUCUAUGUCCUGACCUGGGCCUUGUUAGUCAAGUACAAGAUCUAAGAAUAUAUGCCAUAUUUCUAGAGAGAACAGUGGCACCUCCUCAGGAAGGAUGAAGACCAACUCUUUUAACAGGUCAGGUAUGCCCCAAAAACUCAUUCAAUUGUCUAUGAAACCUAUGUUAUUAGGCAGGCACCACUUAGACAUCCAGCCAUUAAGAAACAACAGUCUACUGUGCAUCACGUCACACACAUCCAUGUUAUUUUUAGUGAUCUCCAACUGGCCAAGUCGAACAUCAUUAGCUCUGACAUGAAUAACAAUCUUACUGAAUUUAUU